rnacentral:rRNA from 1 species
AGCGAACGCUGGCGGCAGGCUUAACACAUGCAAGUCGAACGGGCAUCUUCGGAUGUCAGUGGCAGACGGGUGAGUAACACGUGGGAACGUACCCUUCGGUUCGGAAUAACUCAGGGAAACUUGAGCUAAUACCGGAUACGCCCUUUUGGGGAAAGGUUUACUGCCGAAGGAUCGGCCCGCGUCUGAUUAGCUUGUUGGUGGGGUAACGGCCUACCAAGGCGACGAUCAGUAGCUGGUCUGAGAGGAUGAUCAGCCACAUUGGGACUGAGACACGGCCCAGACUCCUACGGGAGGCAGCAGUGGGGAAUAUUGGACAAUGGGCGCAAGCCUGAUCCAGCCAUGCCGCGUGAGUGAUGAAGGCCUUAGGGUUGUAAAGCUCUUUUGUCCGGGACGAUAAUGACGGUACCGGAAGAAUAAGCCCCGGCUAACUUCGUG